rnacentral:lncRNA from 1 species
AUAGGCACCUAUACAUCAUAUAUUCAAAUAUUUAGAAUUAAAUGUCUACCCAAAUCUGUUAAGUGUGUUCUAACUUCUUUAAAAAAAAAAAAAGAUUUUAUUUGUUUAUUCAUGAGAGACACAGAGAGAAAGGCAAAGACAUAGGCAGAGUGAGAAGCAGACUCCCUGAAGGGAGCCCAAUGUGGAACUCGAUCCCAGGACCCCAGGAUCACACCCUGAGCUGAAGACAGACAUUCAACCACUGAGACAUCCAGAUGUCCCAUGUUCUAACUUCUUACCUUGACAAAUAUGCCUUAAUAAGAGAAUGGAAGGGCUGGUUGAAAUUUACAUACAGUGGGAGCUAGUUCCUAUCAAGGGCCUCCCAUCCAUGGCACACCCAAGAAUUAGCCUGUAAUGCCUCGAUCUUCUGACCUAUGGUUUAUGAGACCAAUGCAUACAACUGAUGAAAUGCAGCUCUGGAUUUAAGGAUCUAAGAGAAAAAUCAGAGCCAGUAUUAGGAUUUUGACAGUUGCAAGCUGACCUCGCCAUACGAGAUUGGUUACUGUCAGAGGACUUUCAGAGAAGGAUUUGAAUGCAAUUUCAAAGGCCAGACAGCAGAUUUCAAAACACUGCAAGCUUAGGAAAGCCCAGGAGAGGCGAGAUUCUGGCUCUCUGUUUCUCCAUUUCACUCAUUUCACUUCAAGCUAAAGCACCUUUUGAUCCCAACCAGGUGAAAUUGAGACAGCAUGGCAAUAUUAAGUGGAUGGCCCACCUACCCAAAGCUCUACAAAAUGGCAAUUAUCUGUAACUGUAUUAUUGCCAGCAUGCACAUUAGCCGGUGGACACCAGUGAUCCCCUUUGAGAACAGAACCACUUUGCUCUUCUCUGUGUGAUUAAAUCUAGGUCCACCCGUUCGGUGUCAACAAAUGGCCAGGCCAUUCACAGCCGGUCGUUCGCAGAUUGCCAUUUGCUGCACAUCAGGCCCAGUGGUUCCUGCUCCCUGCCUGGCUUGUCCAUCCUCUUCUGCGCAGCUGCAAGAAUCACAGUUCUUUAAAAUGCAGUUAUGUAUAAAACACCUUCUUGGAAUUCUUCCCAGAUCUCCAUGGCCUUUGGUCCUGCCUCCAUGCUCCACACACCCUGCACCCAUGUUCAUUCUCAUACUUACCUUUCUCAUCACCAGAUCAUUAUGUGGCCAUGUCUCCAUCUACUAAUAGAUCAUGAGCUCUAAAGGGCGU